rnacentral:rRNA from 1 species
GGCCCUCUUUUAGAGGGAGUGGCGCACGGGUGCGUACGGGUGGGAACCUGCCCUUAGGUUCGGAAUAACUCAGAGAAAUUUGAGCUAAUACCGGAUAAUGUCUUCGGACCAAAGAUUUAUCGCCUUUGGAUGGGCCCGCGUAGGAUUAGAUAGUUGGUGGGGUAAUGGCCUACCAAGUCGACGAUCCUUAGCUGGUCUGAGAGGAUGAUCAGCCACACUGGGACUGAGACACGGCCCAGACUCCUACGGGAGGCAGCAGUGGGGAAUAUUGGACAAUGGGCGAAAGCCUGAUCCAGCAAUGCCGCGUGAGUGAUGAAGGCCUUAGGGUUGUAAAGCUCUUUUACCAGGGAUGAUAAUGACAGUACCUGGAGAAUAAGCUCCGGCUAACUCCGUGCCAGCAGCCGCGGUAAUACGGAGGGAGCUAGCGUUGUUCGGAAUUACUGGGCGUAAAGCGCACGUAGGCGGCUUUUCAAGUCAGGGGUGAAAUCCCGGGGCUCAACCCCGGAACUGCCCUUGAAACUGGAUGGCUAGAAUACUGGAGAGGUGAGUGGAAUUCCGAGUGUAGAGGUGAAAUUCGUAGAUAUUCGGAAGAACACCAGUGGCGAAGGCGACUCACUGGACAGUUAUUGACGCUGAGGUGCGAAAGCGUGGGGAGCAAA